rnacentral:rRNA from 1 species
CUACGGGGCGCAGCAGGCGAGAAAACUUUGCAAUGUGCGAAAGCACGACAAGGUUAAUCCGAGUGGUUUCUGCUAAAGGAACCUUUUGACAGUCCUAGAAACACUGUUGAAUAAGGGGUGGGCAAGUUCUGGUGUCAGCCGCCGCGGUAAAACCAGCACCUCAAGUGGUCAGGAUGAUUAUUGGGCCUAAAGCAUCCGUAGCCGGCUCUGUAAGUUUUCGGUUAAAUCUGUACGCUCAACGUACAGGCUGCCGGGAAUACUGCAGAGCUAGGGAGUGGGAGAGGUAGACGGUACUCGGUAGGAAGGGGUAAAAUCCUUUGAUCUACUGAUGACCACCUGUGGCGAAGGCGGUCUACCAGAACACGUCCGACGGUGAGGGAUGAAAGCUGGGGGAGCGAACCGGAUUAGAUACCCGAGUAGUC